AUUGCCCUUACGGCUCAGUAACACGUAGUCAACAUGCCCAGGGGACGUGGAUAACCUCGGGAAACUGAGGAUAAACCGCGAUAGGUCAUCACUUCUGGAAUGGGUAAUGACUUAAAUCUAUAUGGCCCCUGGAUUGGACUGCGGCCGAUCAGGCUGUUGGUGAGGUAAUGGCCCACCAAACCUGUAACCGGUACGGGCUCUGAGAGGAGGAGCCCGGAGAUGGGCACUGAGACAAGGGCCCAGGCCCUAUGGGGCGCAGCAGGCGCGAAACCUCUGCAAUAGGCGAAAGCCUGACAGGGUUACUCUGAGUGAUGCCCGCUAAGGGUAUCUUUUGGCACCUCUAAAGAUGGUGCAGAAUAAGGGGUGGGCAAGUCUGGUGUCAGCCGCCGCGGUAAUACCAGCACCCCGAGUUGUCGGGACGAUUAUUGGGCCUAAAGCAUCCGUAGCCUGUUCUGCAAGUCCUCCGUUAAAUCCACCCGCUUAACGGAUGGGCUGCGGGGGAUACUGCAGAGCUAGGAGGCGGGAGAGGCAAACGGUACUCAGUGGGUAGGGGUAAAAUCCAUUGAUCUACUGAAGACCACCAGUGGCGAAGGCGGUUUGCCAGAACGCGCUCGACGGUGAGGGAUAAAAGCUGGGGGAGCAAACCGGAUUAGAUACCCGGGUAGUCCCAGCUGUAAACGAUGCAGACUCGGUGAUGAAUAGGCUUCGUGCCUAUUCAGUGCCGCAGGGAAGCCGUUAAGUCUGCCGCCUGGGGAGUACGGUCGCAAGACUGAAACUUAAAGGAAUUGGCGGGGGAGCAC
rnacentral:rRNA from 1 species